UAGCCGUAAACGAUACUCGCUAGGUGUCGGCCACGGUGCGACCGUUGUCGGUGCCGUAGGGAAGCCGUGAAGCGAGCCACCUGGGAAGUACGGCCGCAAGCCUGAAACUUAAAGGAAUUGGCGGGGGAGGCACCACAACGGGUGGAGCUUGCGGUUUAAUUUGGAUUCAACGCCGGAAAUCUUACCGGGACCGACAGCAACAUGAAGGCCAGGCUGAAGACUUUGCCGGAUUAGCUGAGAGGAGGUGCAUGGCGUAGUCGUGU
rnacentral:rRNA from 1 species